UACGUAGGGGGCAAGCGUUAUCCGGAUUUACUGGGUGUAAAGGGAGCGUAGGCGGCUGUGUAAGCCAGAAGUGAAAGCCCGGGGCUCAACUCCGGGACUGCUUUUGGAACUACAUGGCUUGAUUGCAGGAGAGGCAAGUGGAAUUCCUAGUGUAGCGGUGAAAUGCGUAGAUAUUAGGAGGAACACCGGUGGCGAAGGCGGCUUGCUGGACUGUAAAUGACGCUGAGGCUCGAAAGCGUGGGGAGCAAACAGG
rnacentral:rRNA from 1 species